rnacentral:rRNA from 1 species
UGGGGAAUUGUUCGCAAUGGGCGCAAGCCUGACGACGCAACGCCGCGUGGAGGACGAAGAUUUUCGGAUCGUAAACUCCUUUCGAUCGGGAAGAACAGCUAUCGGGUGAAUAGCCCGGAAGUCUGACGGUACCGAGAGAAGAAGCCCCGGCUAACUCCGUGCCAGCAGCCGCGGUAAUACGGGGGGGGCAAGCGUUGUUCGGAAUUACUGGGCGUAAAGGGGUUGUAGGCGGCCAACUAAGUCCGACGUGAAAUCCCAAGGCUUAACCUUGGAACUGCGUCGGAUACUGGAUGGCUUGAAUUCGGGAGAGGGAUGCGGAAUUCCAGGUGUAGCGGUGAAAUGCGUAGAUAUCUGGAGGAACACCGGUGGCGAAGGCGGCAUCCUGGACCGACAUUGACGCUGAGAACCGAAAGCUAGGGGAGCAAACGG